CACUCAAGAAAGAGAAGGAAGAAAAAGGAGAGAGAGAAGAAGAAACUGAUCAAACAAAACAAAAUUUAUUAUCUUUACCUACUCCUUCUUUCUCUUUUCCCCAAAAAUCACCUCAAUCUUCUUCUUCUUCUU
rnacentral:ribozyme from 13 species